rnacentral:rRNA from 1 species
CUACGGGUGGCUCCAGUGGGGAAUAUUGGACGAUGGGGGAAACCCUGAUCCAGCAAUGCCGCGUGUGUGAAGAAGGCCUGCGGGUUGUAAAGCACUUUCGGUUGGGAGGACUGCUUCUAGCACUAAUAUUGUUGGAAGUUGACGUUACCUUCAGAAGAAGCACCGGCUAACUCCGUGCCAGCAGCCGCGGUAAUACGGAGGGUGCAAGCGUGAAUCGGAAUUACUGGGCGUAAAGCGCGCGUAGGCGGCUAGAUCAGUCGGGUGUGAAAGCCCCGGGCUUAACCUGGGAACUGCAUCCGAUACUGUCUAGCUUGAGUACAGGAGAGGAGAGUGGAAUUCCACAUGUAGCGGUGAAAUGCGUAGAUAUGUGGAGGAACACCAAUGGCGAAGGCAGCUCUCUGGCCUGAUACUGACGCUGAGGUGCGAAAGCGUGGGGAGCAAACAGGAUUAGAUACCCCUGUAGUC